rnacentral:rRNA from 1 species
CCUACGGGUGGCAGCAGUGGGAAAUAUUGCACAAUGGUGGAAACCCUGAUGCAGCGACGCCGCGUGAGUGAAGAAGUAACUCGUUAUGUAAAGCUCUAUUAGCAGGGAAGAAAAUGAUGGUACCUGAGUCAGAAGCCCCGGCUAACUACGUGCCAGCAGCCGCGGUAAGACGUAGGGGGCAAGCGUUAUCCGGAUUUACUGGGUGUAAAGGGAGCGUAGACGGCAGUGCAAGUCUGGAGUGAAAGGCGGGGGGUCAACCCCCGGACGGCUGUGGAAACUGGACGGCUGGAGUGCAGGAGAGGUAAGUGGAAUGCCUGGUGUAGCGGUGAAAUGCGUAGAUAUUAGGAGGAACACCAGUGGCGAAGGCGGCUUGCUGGACUGUAACUGACGUUGAGGCACGAAAGCGUGGGGAGCAAACAGGAUUAGAUACCCGAGUAGUC